rnacentral:tRNA from 1 species
GCCUGACUGGCUCAGUUGGUAGAGCACAUGACUCUUGAUCUUGAGGCUGUGAGUUCGAGCCCCAUGUUGGGUG